CAAAACAAUUAGAGCAUUUGUUUAUGGAGCAGACAGUACAGUCAUUGAAUUACUUAUUAUUUUGAAGAUCAAGGACGCUUUUUGUCGUUUGCCGACGACACGACUGGUCAGGCGUGGUCGUAACUUGCACUAUAUAAGCUGACAGUACUCGCCAUUUGAUUAUUAUCAACUGUGAUAAGUCCACAUAACACUUUGAAAAUGUUCUUCAGACUGUUCGCCGUCUUCGCUCUGUUGGCUGUAGCCUUCGCCAGCCCGAAGCCCGACAUCGUGACCUACUCUGCUCCCGGAGUGUACCCUCUGACAUACUCUGCGUACUCCGCUCCAGUGGCCUAUUCCGCGCCCUACGCCGCCGCACCUGUACCCUACGCCUACUCCGGUUACUACUUCAAAUGAUCAGCUCAUACCCCUGUACCUGAUUUCGACAACUCCACUAUGACCUGAUGUGUAUAAUAUAGUUCUUUCUGCAUACAACUUGUUUAUUAUUUCUCUUUUUAACGUACUCUACGCCUACCCUCUGACGUAUUCUGCAUACCCCGCUCCAGUGGGCUAUUCCGCGCCCUACGCCGUCGCACCUGUACCCUAUGCCUACUCCGGUUACUACUUCAAAUGAUCAGCUCAUAGGUACCCCUGUACCUAAUUUCGACUACUCCAAUAUGACCUGACGUGUAUAAUAUAGUUCUUUCUGCAUAUAACUUGUUUAUUAUUUCUUUUUGAUUAAGUUACGUUAAUGUACUCUACGCUUACCCUCUGACGUACUCAGCGUACUCCGCUCCAGUGGCCUAUUCCGCGCCCUACGCCGCCGCACCUGUACCCUACGCCUACUCCGGUUACUACUUCAAAUGAUCAGCUCAUACCCCUGUACCUGAUUUCGACAACUCCACUAUGACCUGACGUGUAUAAUAUAGUUCUUUCUGCAUACAA